UGGACCUCCCCACUCACAAGCUUAAGACCGAUGUUGUGACCCGUUGGAACAGUGGCUACGAAAUGCUUCAGCGUUUCUUGGAACAACAACCAGCGAUCUGUGCUGCUCUGUUGUCCUCUGACGUCAGGCGGUCAGGAAGUGAUAUUUGCACCCUCAACGAAAAUGACAUUACAGACGCUGAGGACAUAAUGCAGGCACUUCGAACGAUGUUUGUAGCCACGAAAAUAGUUUCAGAGGAGAAGAAUCCCUCAUUGCUCCAGUGCAUGCAAAGCUGCUAAAUGACACACAUCAGGCAAUGGGGGACAAACCAAUUGUGAGGGACAUCAAACAGGCAAUAAAUCAAGAUCUGCAGAAGAGAUAUAGCACUGUUGAGGAGAAAAACACCCUCCACACAGCAUCGGCCCUGGAUCCACGAUUUAAGUCACUGCCUUUCCUGACCACAGAUGACAUCAGUGCCACAUAUUCCAAACUGGUUGUGGAGGCAGCCAGCCUUCAGCCCACUAUUAGGCAAGAAGAGACCAGCAGUGCCUCUGGAAUAGAAAUGGAUGGACAGGAUCUUGAGGUGCUUGAAGAGCCACAACCUAAAAGAAGAUCUGGGCUAGCUGAUUUACUGGGAGAAACAUUUUCUACCACAGCCCCACUAAAGUCAGCAUUUUCCCAAGCUGAAGAGGAAGUGAAGAGAUACCAGGAGGCUUCUCCACUGCCACUUGAAGAAAACCCUCUCAACUGGUGUAGAGUGGUGGAGGGAUGACGUAAGUUGGCCAACCCGGAAGUGAGCGUCGCCCUGGAUUCCCUCGACAAAAAGCCAACGGAUUUUACCAUUGGAUUUUGGAUUAUUGCAG
ensembl:lncRNA